rnacentral:tmRNA from 1 species
GGGGGCGACACGGUUUCGACGCGUCUGGUGAAGGUGGAGUAGCGUGCCGAGGUUCCCAGGAACCCUCGUAAAUCCUCUGGGAAACAUCACAACUGCCAACACUGAUCUGGCUCUGGCUGCGUAACCAACCGUAGCCCGUCCUCCGAUCGGCCCGCCCGAGGCGGGUCGGAAGGACGUCGAUAAGUCGGGCUGGCCUCCGGCCGGCGCUGUCCCGACGGAGGCGAGACGACAGGCAGCUAGCCACCGGGGUCGGUCGCUCGCUCACCGCCCGGCGGCGAAGCCAAGAGUGACGCUACGCACGUAGAAGCUCUGCGGGAUCCAGGCGCGGACGGGGGUUCGACUCCCCCCGCCUCCACUC